AUUGAACGCUGGCGGCAUGCUUUACACAUGCAAGUCGAGCGGCAGCGCGGGGUUCAGGCAACUGAGCCCUGGCGGCGAGCGGCGAACGGGUGAGUAAUACAUCGGAACGUACCCAGGAGUGGGGGAGUAGCCCGGCCGAAGACCGGAUUAAUACCGCAUACGAUCUGUGGAUGAAAGUAGGGGGACCGUAAGGGCGAACUGAGGGCCGUCACGCUUUUGGAGCGGCCGAUGUCCGAUUAGCUAGUUGGUGGGGUAAGGCCUACCAAGGCGACGAUCGGUAGCUGGUCUGAGAGGAUGAUCAGCCACACUGGGACUGAGACACGGCCCAGACUCCUACGGGAGGCAGC
rnacentral:rRNA from 1 species